rnacentral:rRNA from 1 species
GAUGAACGCUAGCGACAGGCUUAACACAUGCAAGUCGAGGGGCAGCAUAAAAGUAGCAAUACUUUGGUGGCGACCGGCGCACGGGUGAGUAACGCGUAUGCAACCUACCUAUCAGAGGGGAAUAACCCGGCGAAAGUCGGACUAAUACCGCAUAAAACAGGGGCACCGCAUGGUGAUAUUUGUUAAAGAGAUUCGCUGAUAGAUGGGCAUGCGUUCCAUUAGGUAGUUGGUGAGGUAACGGCUCACCAAGCCGACGAUGGAUAAGGGAACUGAGGGGUUGGUCCCCCACACUGGUACUGAGACACGGACCAGACUCCUACGGGAGGCAGCAGUGAGGAAUAAUGGUCAAUGGGCGAGAGCCUGAACCAGCCAAGUCGCGUUAAGGAAGAAGGAUCUAUGGUUCGUAAACUUCUUUUGCAGGGGAAUAAAGUGCAGGACGUGUCCUGUUUUGUAUGUACCCUGAGAAUAAGGAUCGGCUAACUCCGUGCCAGCAGCCGCGGUAACAC